rnacentral:rRNA from 1 species
UACGGGGGGGGCAAGCGUUGUUCGGAAUUACUGGGCGUAAAGGGCUCGUAGGCGGCCAACUAAGUCGGAUGUGAAAUCCCCAGGCUCAACCUGGGAACUGCAUCCGAUACUGGAUGGCUUGAAUUCGGGAGAGGGAUGCAGAAUUCCAGGUGUAGCGGUGAAAUGCGUAGAUAUCUGGAGGAACACCGGUGGCGAAGGCGGCAUCCUGGACCGAGACUGACGCUGAGGAGCGAAAGCCAGGGGAGCAAACGGG